rnacentral:rRNA from 1 species
AAUCAACGCUGGCGGCGUGCCUAACACAUGCAAGUCGAACGCGAAAGCCCCUUCGGGGGUAAGUAGAGUGGCGUCCGGGUGAGUAACACGUAGGUAAUCUACCUUCGGGUGGGGAAUAACCAGUCGAAAGAUUGGCUAAUACCGCAUAAUGCAGCGGCACCUAAUGGUGAUUAGUUGUUAAAGCGGGGGAUCGUAAGACCUCGCGCCUGAAGAGGAGCCUGCGGCAGAUUAGCUAGUUGGGAGGUAAUGGCUCACCAAGGCUUCGAUCUGUAGCUGGUCUGAGAGGACGGCCAGCCACACUGGCACUGACACACGGGCCAGACUCCUACGGGAGGCAGCAGUGGGGAAUUUUGGGCAAUGGGCGAAAGCCUGACCCAGCAACGCCGCGUGAGGGAGGAAAUCCUUCGGGAUGUAAACCUCACAAGCAAGGGAAGAGAGCUCAGGGCCGAAUAAGCUUUUGAGUCCGACGGUACCUUGCGUAAGCCACGGCUAACUACGUGCCAGCCGCC